GGGGCCUUAGCUCAGCUGGGAGAGCGCCUGCUUUGCAAGCAGGAUGUCGUCGGUUCGAUCCCGUCAGGCUCCACCA
rnacentral:tRNA from 19 species